rnacentral:rRNA from 1 species
CGAUACAGGGUGACAGCCCCGUACACAAAAGCGCAUGUGCUGUGAGCUCGAUGAGUAGGGCGGGACACGUGGUAUCCUGUCUGAAUAUGGGGGGACCAUCCUCCAAGGCUAAAUACUCCUGACUGACCGAUAGUGAACCAGUACCGUGAGGGAAAGGCGAAAAGAACCCCGGCGAGGGGAGUGAAAAAGAACCUGAAACCGUGUACGUACAAGCAGUGGGAGCACAGGUUUACCUGUGUGACUGCGUACCUUUUGUAUAAUGGGUCAGCGACUUAUAUUCUGUAGCAAGGUUAACCGUAUAGGGGAGCCGAAGGGAAACCGAGUCUUAACCGGGCGUUAAGUUGCAGGGUAUAGACCCGAAACCCGGUGAUCUAGCCAUGGGCAGGUUGAAGGUUGGGUAACACUAACUGGAGGACCGAACCGACUAAUGUUGAAAAAUUAGCGGAUGACCUGUGGCUGGGGGUGAAAGGCCAAUCAAACCGGGAGAUAGCUGGUUCUCCCCGAAAGCUAUUUAGGUAGCGCCUCGUGAAUUCAUCUCCGGGGGUAGAGCACUGUUUCGGCUAGGGGGCCAUCCCGGCUUACCAACCCGAUGCAAACUGCGAAUACCGGAGAAUGUUAUCACGGGAGACACACGGCGGGUGCUAACGUCCGUCGUGAAGAGGGAAACAACCCAGACCGCCAGCUAAGGUCCCAAAGUCAUGGUUAAGUGGGAAACGAUGUGGGAAGGCCCAGACAGCCAGGAUGUUGGCUUAGAAGCAGCCAUCAUUUAAAGAAAGCGUAAUAGCUCACUGGUCGAGUCGGCCUGCGCGGAAGAUGUAACGGGGCUAAACCAU